CCAGACUACAACAACACCAAAAAGGCGUUCGUUAUCUGGGAAGUACUAUGCCUUGGCUCCCACGUGGUCGCAACCAUUGCUUUGUAUCCGUCGAUGGACUUCCCUGCUGUACCACAUCACUGGGGUGCAUCGAUGGGAAGAAGGGAGCAGUGAGCACACCUGUCUCCACCCCCCCUUGUCUGAUGAGGAGCAAGAGAGAAAGAAGUGGAUUUCACCUGAUUCACCUGCUUUCUCCGCCCUGAAGGACAUAGUCACCAACCGAAAUCUCCUUCAUGACCUGCGGCAGAUGACGUUGUUCAAGCAUACUGGAGCUCUGGAGGCCUACCACUCAGUGAUGCUGAAAUAUGUCCCAAAA